GAGUUUGAUCGUGGCUCAGGAUGAACGCUGGCGGCGUGCCUAAUACAUGCAAGUCGAGCGAACGGACGAGAAGCUUGCUUCUCUGAUGUUAGCGGCGGACGGGUGAGUAACACGUGGAUAACCUACCUAUAAGACUGGGAUAACUUCGGGAAACCGGAGCUAAUACCGGAUAAUAUUUUGAACCGCAUGGUUCAAAAGUGAAAGACGGUCUUGCUGUCACUUAUAGAUGGAUCCGCGCUGCAUUAGCUAGUUGGUAAGGUAACGGCUUACCAAGGCAACGAUGCAUAGCCGACCUGAGAGGGUGAUCGGCCACACUGGAACUGAGACACGGUCCAGACUCCUACGGGAGGCAGCAGUAGGGAAUCUUCCGCAAUGGGCGAAAGCCUGACGGAGCAACGCCGCGUGAGUGAUGAAGGUCUUCGGAUCGUAAAACUCUGUUAUUAGGGUAAGAACAUAUGUGUAAGUAACUAGUGCACAUCUUGACGGUACCUAAUCAGAAAGCCACGGCUAACUACGUCG
rnacentral:rRNA from 1 species